rnacentral:rRNA from 1 species
CCCUUAGAUGUCCGGGGCCGCACGCGCGCUACACUGAAGGAAUCAGCGUGGCUUUCUCCCUGACCCAAAAGGGUUGGGAAACCCGUUGAAUCUCCUUCGUGAUAGGGAUUGGGGCUUGAAAUUGUUCCCCAUGAAUGAGGAAUUCCCAGUAAGCGCGAGUCAUAAGCUCGCGUUGAUUACGUCCCUGCCCUUUGUACACACCGCCCGUCGCACCUACCGAUUGGAUGGUCCGGUGAAGCCUCGGGAUUGUGGUUCUUGCCGCUUUAUUGUGGCGUGACCGCGAGAACUUGUCUAAACCUUAUCAUCUAGAGGAAGGUGAAGUCGUAACA